rnacentral:rRNA from 1 species
AGAGCGUAUGGCGGAUGCCUAGGCACAGAGAGGCGAAGAAGGACGCAGCAAACAGCGAAAUGCGACGGUUAGCAGUAAGCAUGCAACGAUCCGUCGAUGUCCGAAUGGGGGAACCCACCUGGAGUAGAGACCAGGUAUCCUGAAGUGAAUAAAUAGCUUCAGAGAGGCGAGACUCAGGGAACUGAAACAUCUAAGUACCUGAAGGAAGAGAAAAUAAACGAAUGAUUCCCUAAGUAGCGGCGAGCGAAAGGGGAAGAGCCCAAACCGAUCUUAGGAUCGGGGUUGUAGGACUGUCGGCAAAGAGCAAGAAAUCAUUAUAGGCGAACGGAAUGGGAAGUCCGGCGAAACAGGGUGACAGCCCCGUAGCCGAAAUAGUGAAGAAGCACGAGACAGCACCUGAGUACGGCGGGACACGAGGAAUCCUGUCGGAAUCCACCAGGACCAUCUGGUAAGGCUAAAUACUCCUCUGUGACCGAUAGUGAACCAGUACCGUGAGGGAAAGGUGAAAAGAACCCCGGGAGGGGAGUGAAAUAGAACCUGAAACCAUAUGCUUACAAGAAGUUAGAGCCCGUUAAAGGGUGAUAGCGUGCCUUUUGUAGAAUGAACCGGCGAGUUACGAUAUGGAGCGAGGUUAAGCAGGAUAUGCGGAGCCGAAGCGAAAGCGAGUCUUAACAGGGCGAAAGUUGCAUGUCGUAGACCCGAAACCGAGUGAUCUAGCCAUGACCAGGUUGAAGUUGGGGUAAAACCCGAUGGAGGACCGAACCGACCCCCGUUGAAACGUUGGCGGAUGAGUUGUGGCUAGGGGUGAAAUUCCAAUCGAACUCGGAGAUAGCUGGUUCUCCCCGAAAUAGCUUUAGGGCUAGCGUCGAGGUAAAGUCGUGUGAAGGUAGAGCACUGAAUAUGUGAUGGCCCCAUCUCGGGGUACUGAACAUAAUCAAACUCCGAAUGUCACAAAGAUAUACUCGGCAGUCAGACAGUGGGUGAUAAGGUCCAUUGUCAAAAGGGAAACAGCCCAGACCAUCAGCUAAGGUCCCAAAAUAUAUACUAAGUGGAAAAGGAUGUGGAGAUGUCCAGACAACUAGGAGGUUGGCUCAGAAGCAGCCAUCCUUUAAAGAGUGCGUAACAGCUCACUAGUCGAAUGACUCUGCGCCGAUAAUUUACCGGGGCUAAGUAUAUUACCGAAGCUAUGGAUUUACGCGUAAGCGUGAGUGGUAGGGGAGCGUUCUAUGUGCGGAGAAGCGGUACCGUAAGGAGCCGUGGAGCGCAUAGAAGAGAGAAUGCCGGUGUGAGUAGCGAAACGUGGGUGAGAAUCCCACGCACCGAAAACCCAAGGUUUCCAGAGGAAGGUUCGUCCGCUCUGGGUAAGUCGGGACCUAAGGCGAGGCCGAGAGGCGUAGUCGAUGGACAACAGGUAGAGAUUCCUGUACUUACGGUAUGAAUGAUGGAGUGACGGAGAAGGCUAGCGGAUCCUGCUGAUGGAAAUGCAGGUGCAAGCGAGGUAGCCGACAGCCAGGCAAAUCCGGCUGUCGAAAGGCAAAGGCGUGAGGCGUAUGGAAAGCUGCGGCAAGUACAGAAGUCCGUGAAGCCAGCUUCCAAGAAAAGCUUCUAGUGAUAAUCAUACAGUAACCCGUACCGAAAAUGGACACACAUGGGUGAGGAGAGAAUCCUAAGGUGAGCGAGAGAACUAUAGCUAAGGAACUCUGCAAAAUGACUCCGUAACUUAGGGAUAAGGAGUGCUCAUAGAGAUAUGAGCCGCAGUGAAACGGCCCAAGCGACUGUUUACCAAAAACACAGCUCUAUGCUAAGUCGAAAGACGACGUAUAUGGGGUGACGCCUGCCCGGUGCUGGAAGGUUAAGAGGAUGUGUCAGCGCAAGCGAAGCAUUGAAUUGAAGCCCCAGUAAACGGCGGCCGUAACUAUAACGGUCCUAAGGUAGCGAAAUUCCUUGUCAGGUAAGUUCU